AGAGUUUGAUCCUGGCUCAGGAUAAACGCUGGCGGCGCACAUAAGACAUGCAAGUCGAACGGACUUAACCAUUAGUUUACUAUUGGAGUGGUUAGUGGCGGACUGGUGAGUAACACGUAAGCAACCUGCCUGUUAGAGGGGAACAACAGUUAGAAAUGACUGCUAAUACCGCAUAUGCCUUAGUUAUCGCAUGAUAAUAGAGGGAAAGGAGCAAUCCGCUAACAGAUGGGCUUGCGUCUGAUUAGAUAGUUGGUGUGGUAACGGCAUACCAAGUCGACGAUCAGUAGCCGG
rnacentral:rRNA from 1 species